AACGCAUAUUGCACUCUUUGGUAUUCCGAGGAGUAUACUUGUUUCAGUAUCAUGAAAAUCUCACCAAUGAAACUUUUUUUGUUUCAUCUGCGUGGACUUGGGUUUGCGAUUUCUAACACAAUUGCUAAUCUAAAAUGAAUUUCAUGAAGCUUAAAUAUGCUUUGAAUCUUUUGCUUAAUAGUUUUGCUUUGUCAAAUCUUUUGCAACUGGAUUCAAAUCCAAAAAGUGGAUUGAUUUUACGAAAAAUCAAAACCUUCAUUUUUUGAUCUGAAAUCAAGUAGGAUUACCCGCUGAACUUAA
rnacentral:misc_RNA from 1 species